rnacentral:sRNA from 1 species
GGAAAAGGUCCCGGAGAGCUGAGCAGUCAAGAUGUGUGACUUCACCGAAGACCAGACCGCAGAUCUGAUCCCAAGCACUGGGUGAGUUUUAGGUGGUGUGGAGUUCAAGGAGGCCUUCCAGCUGUUUGACCGAACAGGUGAUGGCAAGAUCCUGUACAGCCAGUGUGGGGAUGUGAUGAGGGCCCUGGGCCAGAACCCUACCAACGCCGAGGUGCUCAAGGUCCUGGGGAACCCCAAGAGUGAUGAGAUGAAUGUGAAGGUGCUGGACUUUGAGCACUUUCUGCCCAUGCUGCAGACAGUGGCCAAGAACAAGGACCAGGGCACCUAUGAGGAUUAUGUCGAAGGACUUCGGGUGUUUGACAAGGAAGGAAAUGGCACCGUCAUGGGUGCUGAAAUCCGGCAUGUUCUUGUCACACUGG